UUGUGUGUGCAGGCGGCGUGAAAGCGACCGUGAGCGGUUCCUUGUCACACACGUGCGUUCCGCAUUGGAUGGCCCUCGAGCUUUUGCCAAGGAAGUCCCUGAACCGAUCUGUCACUGAGCGAGCAGUCAGAUUGCGGGAAGGCACCCAGAGGCAAAGGUUCCACCGGAGGCAGCUGGGGCGGCCGAGCGAGGCACUUGGUGAUUAUAUCGGAGCUUCAUCUCGUAGAUCGAUGGAUUGAUCACUUGCAAGACGUCCACGGAACGUCAGUCCCCCAAGUGCGUCCACACGGAGGAGACGAGCUAAUGACAGCGAGGACAGACUGAACCUUUUCGCGGCCCUGCAAUUCCACAAAAGGCCAACAUCGCACUGUGGCACCGUUUUCCAAGGAAGCAUUACUGAAACAGCACUUCAGUCCUGGGGCUACAAU